rnacentral:rRNA from 1 species
UACGGGGGGUGCAAGCGUUGUUCGGAAUUACUGGGCGUAAAGCGCACGUAGGCGGCUUUGUAAGUUAGAGGUGAAAGCCCGGGGCUCAACUCCGGAACUGCCUUUAAGACUGCAUCGCUUGAAUCCAGGAGAGGUGAGUGGAAUUCCGAGUGUAGAGGUGAAAUUCGUAGAUAUUCGGAAGAACACCAGUGGCGAAGGCGGCUCACUGGACUGGUAUUGACGCUGAGGUGCGAAAGCGUGGGGAGCAAACAGG